rnacentral:tRNA from 3 species
GGAGAGGUGGCAGAGUGGCCGAUUGUGCUCGCUUGGAAAGCGAGUGUACCGCAAGGUACCGAGGGUUCGAAUCCCUCCCUCUCCGCCA